rnacentral:tRNA from 2 species
GGAGAGAUGGCUGAGUGGUUGAUAGCUCCGGUCUUGAAAACCGGUAUAGUUUGAAACAUAGAACUAUCGAGGGUUCGAAUCCCUCUCUCUCCU